rnacentral:rRNA from 1 species
UACAGAGGUGGCAAGCGUUGUUCGGAAUUACUGGGCGUAAAGAGCGCGCAGGCGGUCGAUCAAGUCGCGUGUGAAAGCCCCCGGCUCAACUGGGGAGGGUCACGCGAUACUGAUCGACUCGAAGGCAGGAGAGGGUAGUGGAAUUCCCGGUGUAGUGGUGAAAUGCGUAGAUAUCGGGAGGAACACCAGUGGCGAAGGCGACUACCUGGCCUGUUCUUGACGCUGAGGCGCGAAAGCUAGGGGAGCAAACGGG